AGAAAUACAACAUGCAAAAUUAUUAAUGUUUGGCAAAAAAAGGUACAUAAAAUUAAAAUCUUAAUUUUUUUGAAACUUCCAGAUGAGUAUUGUUUGAUCUGGACUUCCUUUCUAUAGUCCAAGUGUUUUCUUCUCAUUCAUUACGAAACAAAAAAUUAACUCUAGUUUAGCUUUUUAUUUCUUCCUAGAUAUUAUCUUUAACUUGCUAUGGUCCCACGUCUCCUAAAGCCAUUGAAGAUGAUGCAUUUGUUUACAGCGACGCUUCAAAUAUUUUCUUAAAAACUAUUUCAGUUUUGGCAAGAUUCAGAAUCCAUAAACACAUUCUGUCAUGCAUUCUCUUACUGUUUACAUAUUUCCUUAAAAGCAGGGAUUUUCCUUCUGUUUUUGAGUUACGUUUAUGCCCUUUCUUAUUUGCUUUAUAGCUUGCUGCCACGAGACAAAAAUCUGUCCAAAGAAAAGAAUAAUUCCUAUCUCCUCCCUCAAAAUUUCUAAUAAGUCUCCUCGUAUAUUCCGGAAUCUCUUUCUUCUUGAAGGACUCAAAUGGGCCUUGAAAAUCCAUGUUGUCACAUGUUUAUCAGAGGAGAGGAAAAGGCCCUCAAGCGUUCAUAUCCUUGCAUCAGGGUUGUUAGGGGGCAGCGCCGUGGGAACCAGGCUUGCAGGCUUCCCCUGGGAGAAAGAUACCACAAGGCAAGGUCUCGGAAAAGGGGAGAAGAAUGAGUUCGUCACCGAAGCUGGAACGUGGCUUAAAGUGAGGAAUGGCGGCUCACUGCGUUGUGUAGUUGUGAGUGUGUAAUAAUAAAAGGAGCCCUACAGCAUCCGUCCCUAAGGCACUUUUUAAUUUAUUUUUUUUGUCCUGGAUGCACAAUCACCCACAGCAAGAGGCGUGCCAUUCUCACACGCGGGCCGACCUGCGCUCCUGGACGCGGUCGGGCGCGUCUCGAGGACCCGCCUGUGGCUGUGACGAUGGAGGCACCGCCACGUGCAGCCGGCCUCUGCCUCUCGACGGGGAGGGGGCGGGUGGGGGCCGGCGGGGGCGGCGCAGGGUCUCCCCUGCGAGGCCAGGCGGAGGUUCGCGGCUCCAGGUGCCCGCUCUGCUCCUCCCAGAAGCUGGACUCACGGGAAACGCAGGCCCGGCCGCCCCGCGAGCCCUCUAUUUACAGCCAGGGCUUGUGAAGGAGGCGGCGCUGAGAAGGCAGCCUUGGGAGGUCCAAGGCGUCUGAAGAUUUCAUCAGGACGUGCCCCCUGCGGCUCCUCCCCGGGGUUUGGGGUCACGAGGAUGUUGCCGCCUGGGACCCCUCCUGGUUACUGCCGUGAACCCGCCGGGCGCGGGGCCUCCUGCCACCUCGACGUCCGGGCUCCAGGCUCCCGGAUCUGGGCCCUUCUCGACAAAGCCGCAAGAGACCCGUGGCCCCUACUUAGAGAGCAGAGCUACCAAACGCCUGGUCACUCAGGCCAGUGACCUCCCACGGGCAUCCUGGGGUCCCCCCUCUUCUCCAGCCUACCUUGAAGACGCUAAAUUUGAAACAGGCUGCGAGUCUUUCCGCCCCCAUCCUGCUCUCCAGUGGGCAGCUCCGUCGUUGCUGGGGUCACUGUCCCCCUAUCCUCUGCCUACCCAGAAAUCUACUCUCAACAUCCACCCAGAGCCAGAGAGAGCUCCGGGAAAUCAAAUGAGCUCCUCUCACCUGGAGAAUGUCAACCAUGUGAGAGAAGAAACUGUCUGUUCGCUGUGGAUCCCUGCUCUGAGAACGGGGUCAGCCACAGGAUGGGUGAACUGAGACCCAGGAGGACAAAGUGCCUGCUCCACACCCCAAGCCAGGGGCCCUGCUCUGUGCGGGGGGAUCCGCCUGCGUGGUUGUGGGGGCCACUUGUGGCUGUCGGGCGUCAUCUAUCCCUGACACAUGGCCAAGGAAGAUAGGGACAAAAGGCACAAAUAUGCCAAAAGACAAAAGACUAAAAGCCACAUGGUUCAGAGGAGACAGAGCUGGAGGCUGGGUGCCCAGUGGCCUGGAAAGCUCCCAGAGGACGAGGGGUCUGAAUGGCUUGAGGAGCCGGUGGACCCAAACUUUGAGGGUCAACUCAUGGGAGGGCCUUAGGCAGGAACAGGCUGAGGCAAAUUCCUCAAGAAGGUAAUUCAGGGACAGAAGCAUCCGCUGGCUGCCUGUCACAGCCAGGGGCCUUUCACACAGAAAUCAGAUCAUGUGUUCGCUGCCUGGAACCUUAGCUGCUUCUGUACUGAGGCAGCUCAACAGACGACCACAAACCGGGUGGCUUCAGACAGGGGUGAUUUGUCUCUCAAGUUCAGGAAACCGGAAGUCUGAAAUGGGGGGCAGGGUCGGUCCCUCCUGGGGCUCCGAGGCAGCAUCUGUUCCAGGCCCCCUCCAGCUUCUGGUGGGGACCGGCCUCCUUGGGGUCCCUUGGCUUGUAGAUGCAUCGCUCCCAUCUCUGCCUCACGGUCACACGACCUUCUCCAUUUGUGUCUUCACACGGCUUCAGACAAGGACGCUAGUCAUUGUAUUUAGCGUCACCCGAACCCAGUACGACCUCAUCUUAACUAAUCACAUCUGCAAAGACCCUCUUUCCAAAGAAAGUCACAUUCUGAGGUUCCGGGAGGGGCAACGCUAUUCAACCCAGUGCAGCUUCCCAUUCUCCCGGAUUGAAAGCUGAGCCCUCUCCAGGCCUGUGGGGCAGAGCAGCCUGGUGCUUGAGACCAGGAGGCUGGAGCUGGGCUGCCCGGAUCAACACUGGGACAGUGGCCGAGGAAAACAGAAAAACGCCGCUGGGCACUCAACCCCCCUCUCGGUUUCCCCAUCUGUAAAAUGGGGCUGAUAACAGUACUGGCCUCCUCAGUUGUUGUGAGGGUGAAGUGAGAUAAUAAAGGGGCGGAGGCAAGAGCAGAUGAGGUCCCUGCCCCACGGAGCUCCCACGUUGGCAGGAGAGAGACAGGAAUGUGAAAUCGAGCGGGGCCGCACGUGGCCGGUGGUGAAGGUUGCCAAGAGGGAAGCACAGCAGGAUAGGGAGGCGGGGACAGGAGUGGUGCGGGCUCAACAGGCUGUUCAGGGAGGGACUCACUGAGACAGUGACAUGGGGCAAGGGGCCUGAAGAAAUGAGCAGGGGGCACGAGUGUUCUGCAGGGAGCGUUCAAGGCAGAGGGCACAGCCGGUACAAGGCCCGUGUGUGCGAGGAGCAGUGGGGGCCAGAGUGGCUGCAGGGAGGUGGACGAGGGAACUGUGGGGGCCGAGGUCAGAGAGGUGACAGGACGGGAUCCGUGUACGACCUUGAGGGCCAGUGAAAGGACGCUGGCAUUCCCUGUGCGUGUCAGAGCCCUUGGAUGGGUCUGAGCACAGGAGUGACGUGCUCUGAGUUCAUUUUAGGUGACCCCUCAGGCUGUGUGCGGGGCCAGACUGUGGGGCAGAGGGCAGAAGCAGCCGGACCUGCGAGGAGGCCGCCAGGGCGGGGGCAGGAAGGUGCAGGCCGGGGUCACCAGUGCCAGCUCUGGGAUUUGCACCUGAGGGUCGGCUGACGGGAUCUGCUGAUGGAUGGGGCGGAGGCGGUAAGAGGGAAACAGACCGUCAAGGAGGACGCCAAGGGCUUUGGGCUGAGCGGCUGGAAGGACUGCCGUGCUCCUGAGUCAGGUGUGGGAGGUCUCAGGAGGAGCAGGCGGGAGCAGGGAGCGGCUGAGAGGCAGAGAGACCUUCCAGAAAGGUCUGGGGUCCUGAGCCAACUUGGCCCCCCCUCAAGAGCUUCCUUCAUCUGAGCUGCAAGGACGACCACCUGUGUUGUCCCCGAGCGGGUGACGCCAGCCAGGCUCUGCACUUGUGUCUCCCUCCGAGAGACAAAGGUCAAUGUCACAGCAGUCUGCUCUGAUGCUGGCUUCAAGCCAAGGCCCUUAAUAUUCAAUGAGAAAUCUGCAUUGAUGAAAUUUUCAUUAAAGAAACAUUAUCCGUU
ensembl:lncRNA